rnacentral:tRNA from 1 species
CGGGAUAUAGCUCAGCUUGGUAGAGCGCUUGCUUUGGGAGCAAGAUGUCGUAGGUUCAAAUCCUACUAUCCCGA